AAAAAGUUUUGAAGUUCAGAUUUUUUCGUUUGAAUCACUUUUUUUUUUGAAGCUCAAAAAGUUUUGAAGUUCAAAUUUUUUCGAUUGAAUCAUUUUGGAACAAACGUACCGUGGUGGGCGGGUGCUUCUCUAUUGGUCAGACAUGUUUGAUUGACAAGUGUCUACACCAACGACGUCUUUCUGACAAAGAAGUCUUGUUCGGCACUCCCCAGGCCAGACAGCUUUUUACCAGCAAGAGGGAACAGCGGUGAAGUUGUCGCAUUGGAAGCAAAGUUGUACUACUUUGUAGCAAAAAUGAUUACAGUCUGUGUUGUCCGUGGAGGAGUUGCCCACCAUUUUUUCUCAGAAGGGCUGUUUCACCAAUUUGCGGGCUUCCAAAGGCCCCUUUCAGACCAGAAGUUCUGCAUGAUCACAAACUCCGGGAGCAGCUAAUCAAGGUUUGCAGAGGGCUUCAAGAUUCUGGGGCUACUGAAAGAGCUCCAGAAAAACCCAGCUGUUGUUCCUGACAUGUCCGUGUGUGAGGAGAAAGCCCUCACUGCCAGGGACAUGAGCCACAGUGACCUAUUCUGCUCAGGGCAGCAAUCAGCGCGUUCUGGAGAACCAAUUGGUCUGCUUUAGGAGUGACUGGCUGAUUGACAUUAAAGAAGAGGAGGAUGGUCCACCCUCUCUCUCUUGAUGUUCACCUCUGGAGCCUCUGCCAUCCCUCCACUUGGCUUUUCCUGCCAGCCUGAAAUCCAGUUUCUGCAUGACACCAAGACAAUUUACCCAGAAGCCAAUACUAGUGUUGUUGUCCUGUUGUAUCUGUCGCUGCACUCCUCCUACAAGGCUGUUAGAAUAUACAUGAUGGAGGGAAUUUUGCAAGCUCCGACCUUUGGAGUUUCUUAAAUGAUCACGAAUGUGACUAUGAAAGGUUACGCUGCAAGGUGAUGACGGGUUUGCAUGUUUGUCCAGCUGUUGUUAAUGUUUUACUUAAUUUUAAGGUAAAACGUGGUUUUACAAGUCUGAAAAGUGUACCAGUGUUUAAAAAAUACUGUUCAUAUGUUUUUUACUAAAAGCCUUUAGCUGGUCCUGAGGAUAAAAUAUCAGAAGACUGUGCCAGAUGAUUCAGGUUCUGUCAUUAAACUUCUGAAAUGGUUUUAGAUUUUAACAACUUUCAGGAAGUUGACAAAUUGUUAUCCAAGACCAUCAUAUGUUCUCUUCUAGGUUUGUCUUUAUGGCAAUAAAGAAAAUACUCAAAAUUAAAGUUUGAUACAUAAAAAAAAAUAUUAAACUGAACUUAUCAUGGCCACUAAUGACAAAGAAAAAAUAAAUAAACAGAUAUUUUUGCCAAAAGGAGGGAGAAGUUUAACACAAGAAGAGGGCCAAAAUAAAAAUGUGUUUUUUAAAAGAAAGAGAAUGAAUAAAUUUCGUCCCACUUAAUGAUUGUGUCCCACUUGUUGAUUCUUCACGAAAACAUGCAGUUUUAUAUCUUUAUGUUUGAAGCCUGAAAUUUGGCCAAAGGUUGAAAAGUUCAAGGGGGCUAAAUACUUUCAGAAGGUUCUGUAUGUGAGAUCAUGUUGGUCCAGACAACUCCUGUAAGACAGCAGCUCCAGAUGUAAGGGAGAGGUUGAAACAUAAGAUAUGCAAACUAUAUAGAAUUUCCCAUUAGAGUCAAUAAAGAAGCUGUUUUAUAUUA